rnacentral:misc_RNA from 1 species
UGUGGGAGCUGGCUUGCCUGCGAUGCAGAUACCUCGGUUUAUCCGUCAUACCGAGGUGUCUGCAUCGCAGGCAAGCCAGCUCCCACA